CAGGGUGCUGAGGUAGUUUAUAAAGCUGCGAUUGCUUUAAGUUCGCAGAUUUUAAACUAUCUCGACAUCCUC
rnacentral:pre_miRNA from 1 species